GAUGAAGAACGUAGCGAAAUGCGAUACGUAGUGUGAAUUGCAGAAUUCAGUGAAUCAUCGAAUCUUUGAACGCACAUUGCGCCCGCCAGUAUUCUGGCGGGCAUGCCUGUUCGAGCGUCAUUUCAACCAUCAAGCCCCCGGCUUGUGUUGGGGACCUGCGGCUGCCGCAGGCCCUGAAAACCAGUGGCGGGCUCGCUAGUCACUCCGAGCGUAGUAAUACAUCUCGCUCAGGGCGUGCUGCGGGUUCCGGCCGUUAAAAAGCCUUAUUUACCCAAGGUUGACCUCGGAUCAGGUAGGAAGACCCGCUGAACUUAAGCAUAUCAAUAAGCGGAGGA
rnacentral:misc_RNA from 1 species